rnacentral:rRNA from 3 species
UAGGACUCUCGGCAAUGGAUAUCUCGGCUCUCGCAUCGAUGAAGAGCGCAGCGAAAUGCGAUACGUGGUGCGAAUUGCAGAAUCCCGUGAACCAUCGAGUCUUUGAACGCAAGUUGCGCCUGAGGCCAACUGGCCAAGGGCACGUCCGCCUGGGCGUCAAGC